rnacentral:sRNA from 1 species
AAGCCGAUGCACAUUCAUGCUCGCAUGAAAUGUGCAGAGGCUUUUAGCGACCUGCCAGGAUAUGAGGAAGUAGCGCGACAGCGCGGAUUCCGAAUGUCCUGGAGGAUUUCGAAAGCGGCCGAAAGGCCGCGAAGAAAUCCGUGG